UCAAAGGCCUUUUUUAUAACUGUGAUGACAAAUAUUUCCAAGGCCACAAGUGUAAAUAACAAAAUAUUUU
rfam:Picea glauca, whole genome shotgun sequence.